AUAAUAUUAUUCAGUGGUGUAGUUGUAAUGUUUUUCUCACGUGCUCCACAAAUAUUCUACGGGUGGGGAGACUAUAUUUCUGAUUACUACGGUCUGAAUAACAAUAAAUUUGUUCAAGACUCUGCCGCAGCGUUCUUAGUUUGCUUUUUAAUGCUUUUAUUGCCAUCUAAUUUGGACUUUUUUCGCAACUUCUACGUUAGCGAAGACGAGCUGCCUAAUAAGCCAGUGCCGUCAGUUUUGGAUUGGACAGUAAUGAAUAAAAACAUGCCAUACAGUUUUAUGUUCC
rnacentral:lncRNA from 1 species